GAUGAACGCUGGCGGCGUGCCUAAUACAUGCAAGUCGAGCGAACAGACGAGGAGCUUGCUCCUCUGACGUUAGCGGCGGACGGGUGAGUAACACGUGGAUAACCUACCUAUAAGACUGGGAUAACUUCGGGAAACCGGAGCUAAUACCGGAUAAUAUAUUGAACCGCAUGGUUCAAUAGUGAAAGACGGUUUUGCUGUCACUUAUAGAUGGAUCCGCGCCGCAUUAGCUAGUUGGUAAGGUAACGGCUUACCAAGGCAACGAUGCGUAGCCGACCUGAGAGGGUGAUCGGCCACCCUGGAUCUGAGACACGGUCCAGACUCCUACGGGAGGCAGCAGUAGGGAAUCUUCCGCAAUGGGCGAAAGCUUGACGGAGCAACGCCGCGUGAGUGAUGAAGGUCUUCGGAUCGUAAAACUCUGUUAUUAGGGAAGAACAAAUGUGUAAGUAACUAUGCACGUCUUGACGGUACCUAAUCAGAAAGCCACGGCUAACUACGUG
rnacentral:rRNA from 1 species